rnacentral:rRNA from 1 species
GCGUCGCAUUAGCUAGUUGGUGAGGUAACGGCUCACCAAGGCAACGAUGCGUAGCCGACCUGAGAGGGUGAUCGGCCACACUGGGACUGAGACACGGCCCAGACUCCUACGGGAGGCAGCAGUAGGGAAUCUUCCGCAAUGGACGAAAGUCUGACGGAGCAACGCCGCGUGAGUGAUGAAGGCUUUCGGGUCGUAAAACUCUGUUGUUAGGGAAGAACAAGUGCUAGUUGAAUAAGCUGGCACCUUGACGGUACCUAACCAGAAAGCCACGGCUAACUACGUGCCAGCAGCCGCGGUAAUACGUAGGUGGCAAGCGUUAUCCGGAAUUAUUGGGCGUAAAGCGCGCGCAGGUGGUUUCUUAAGUCUGAUGUGAAAGCCCACGGCUCAACCGUGGAGGGUCAUUGGAAACUGGGAGACUUGAGUGCAGAAGAGGAAAGUGGAAUUCCAUGUGUAGCGGUGAAAUGCGUAGAGAUAUGGAGGAACACCAGUGGCGAAGGCGACUUUCUGGUCUGUAACUGACACUGAGGCGCGAAAGCGUGGGGAGCAACCAGGAUUAGAUACCCUGGUAGUCCACGCCGUAAACGAUGAGUGUUAAGUGUUAGAGGGUUUCCGCCCUUUAGUGCUGAAGUUAACGCAUUAAGCAUUCCGCCUGGGGAGUACGGCCGCAAGGCUGAAAUUCAAAGGAAUUGACGGGGGCCCGCCCAAGCGGUGGAGCAUGUGGUUUAAUUGGAAGCAACGGGAAGAACCUUACCAGGUCUUGACAUCUUCUGACAACCCUAGAGAUAGGGUUUUUCCUUCGGGAGCAGAGUGACAGGUGGUGCAUGGUUGUCGUCAGCUCGUGUCGUGAGAUGUUGGGUUAAGUCCCGCAACGAGCGCAACCCUUGUUUUUAGUUGCCAUCAUUAAGUUGGGCAUUUUAAGGUGACUGCCGGUGACAAACCGGAGGAAGGUGGGGAGGAGGUCAAAUCAUCAUGCCCCUUAUGACCUGGGUUACACACGUGUUACAAUGGACGGUACAAAGAGCUGCAAGACCGGGAGGUGGAGUUAAUUUCAUAAAACCGUUUUCAGUUCGGAUUGUAGGUUGCAAUUCGCUUACAGGAAGCUGGAAUCGUUAGUAAUCGGGGAUCAGCAUGCCGCGGGGAAUACGUUCCCG